GGAAGAGCUAGGUUCGCACAUGCGCAGCGCUCCAGGACAGCAGGAGCAGGGUGACCCUGAGUGCUGAGACCCUGCCGCGAUGCUGAGCAAGUUUCUGGGCCCACGCUAUCGGGAACUGGCCAAGAACUGGUGAGGAGGUCGCCCGCCGUCCCACCCGUGUGCCCUGGGGACAUAGGGGGGAAACUCUGCUGGGGCAGCUGAAGACUCCAGGACACAGUGCAGGUGGAGGAUGAGUUGCUUCGAGCCUCGGUUUCCCCAGCCCGACCUGGGGAUCCCUUUGCGGUACGGGAUCCCCACUGCCAGCAUGUGGGGUGCCGUGGGUGCCGUGGGGCUGGUGUGGGCCACAGACUGGCGUUUGAUCCUGGACUGGGUACCUUACAUCAACGGCAAGUUUAAGAAGGAUGAUUAGGAAAACCCCGUCACACUCAGGAUCUCCCUGGCUCACACCUGCUGUCAGCUCACCUGAUGUCGUCCCCUUCUCCAGGCUCACACCUGCUGUCAGCUCACCUGAUGUCGUCCCCUUCCCCAGGCUCACACCUGCUGUCAGCUCACCUGAUGUUGUCCCCUUCCCCAGGCUCACACCUGCUGUCAGCUCACCUGAUGUCCCCUUCCGCGGGCUCACACCUGCUGUCAGCUCACCCAAUGUCCCCUUCCCCAGGCUCACACCUGCUGUCAGCUCACCCGAUGUCCCCUUCCCCAGGCUCACACCUGCUGUCAGCUCGCCCGAUGUCCCCUUCCCCAGGCUCACACCUGCUGUCUCAGGAACAGCUCAGCCUCGUGAAGGAUGCUGAGGAAGCUGGACACGGCCAAGUCCCGCAGCACCCGGGGAGCCUCUGCGCAGAUGGACACUUGGGCUGCCUUGAUGGGUGUACAUUAAACCUUGUUCUCACA